AAUUUUUUUUUUUUUAUCAAUCUAGUUGUUUGGUUGAAUCUAUUUGCAAAUUCCUGUUUUGAUGAGGUCUACACUUCAAUGUUGUCCAUAACUAUGACUUUUGUUUCUAUGAAUUAACUGUUGGCUUGUUGUAGUUCUUGAGUUUUGUUUGUUGGUGGUGGAAUGGGAAUAAAACAGAUGGACCGAACCAAACCGAGAAUUUCAAUUUGGUUCACUUCAGUUCUACCCCAUUGAUCGGUUCAAUUCAGUUGGCAAUAAAAGGUAAUUCAGUUUUCCGGUUUUGCCAAUUUGGUUUGGAACUGAAUCGACUGAACGCUCACCUAUAUAUAGAACUUUCUAAUAUAUAUACACACACACAUAUAUAUAAUAUAUAUACUGACAUGCAAUUAUGAGUAUACAAAUACAUCAAAAAAGUUCAACAAUACCUUUCAAAUGCUAAAACAAAGUGA
rnacentral:misc_RNA from 1 species